GGAGGGAUGGAUGAGUGGUUUAAGUCGCACGCCUGGAAAGCGUGUGUGGGUUAAUCCCCACCGCGGGUUCGAAUCCCGCUCCCUCCGCCA
rnacentral:tRNA from 1 species